UACGUAGGGCGCGAGCGUUGUCCGGAUUUUAUUUGGGCGUAAAGAGCUCGUAGGCGGCUUUGUCGCGUCGUCCGUGAAAACCUGCAGCUCAACUGCAGGCUUUGCGGUUCGAUACGGGCAGGCUGGAGUUCGGUAGGGGAGACUGGAAUUCCUGGUGUAGCGGUGGAAUGCGCAGAUAUCAGGAGGAACACCGGUGGCGAAGGCGGUUCUCUUGGGCAUGACCUGACGCUGAGGAGCGAAAAGUGUGGGGGAGCGAACAGGG
rnacentral:rRNA from 1 species